ACUUUUGGUGUGUCUGAAGACAGCUACAGUGUACUUAUAUGUAAUAAAUAAAUAAAUCUUUAAAAAAAAAAACUACAAGUGCAGUAAUGCUGGCAAUUUAGAUAUGUUAGAGAGAAGCCAUAAAUUAAAUCUUUCAUAUAAACCUCAUGUAAAAGUUCAUGACUUAAUGAUGAAGGAGAAAAUACCAUAUGUUGAAGUUGGGAGGGACAAGUUUCUUCAUGAUAUUGUGAAAAAGAAAAAAAUUCAUGAUAGUUUUGUUUUUAAUUCAAACUAACAGCUAUAGCUACAUACAUGCCUUUAAGUAGAAGAAGCUGGGAAUUUGUGUACAUAUAUGUAUACAUAUGUGUACACACACACACACGGUUUAGUUAUACACUGUUCUCAGUUGUGUAAUGGAAACCUUGGAAUGUAUCCCUAAGGAAUGAGGGGUGUUACUAAUUAAAAAGUGAAAGUGGCUUUUUAUUUUGUUCUUUGCAAUUUUCUUUAUUUUAAACUUUUUCUUUGAAAUAAUUAUGUACACUGUAGGAAGUUACCAAAAUCGUAUGAACCCCAUUCACUUUUCCCCUGUUUUCCCCAGUUGUAACACUUAAUGUAAUUAUGGUAAAAUGUUGGAAUUAGGAAAUUGCCAAUGACAAUAUAAUCUUAUCUAGGUUUUAUAAUCUCACGUUUACCAUGUAUGUGUGUUUAUAGUUUUGUGACAGUUUAUUUCAUUUGUAUAAUGUAUGACCACAUUUAAGAUACAGAACUUUGUAUUGUCACAAAGAAAAUCCUUCACACUAACCCUUUUUAAUCCAUUCAUACAGUCUCAUAUCUAAGCACUUGAAAACACUAAUCUCUUCCCGUCCAUAGUCUUUCCGUUUCAGGAAUAUAUUAUAGAAUUAUAUGUCAUAUAAUCCUCUGAAAUUAACUCUACAUUAUACAUAGUGCCUUUUGAUUCAUCAACCAGUUAAUGUAGCAUUGGUUCCUCUUUUAUUUACAAAUGAAAUACUAUUGUAUAGAGUGUGCCACACUAUUUAAUAGUCAUCCAUUGGAGCAUAUUUGGGUUUCUCUCAAAUUUCAAUUCUUAUUGGUACAAGGUUUUGUGUCAAUGUCAACUCUAAUUUCUUUAAUAAGAAACACCCAAAACUGAGCAUUAGAAUACAUAACAAGUGUACAUUUAGUUAGUUUUUAGAUUACUGGAGUGUUUUCUUGAGUACUAAUAUGAUACCAAUUUACAUUUCAUAACUACCAAGUAUCUCUUUAUCUUCCUUUGAUGACAGUGACACUUUUUAAUUUUAGGUAUUUUGAAUAAUUCUAAAGUAUUGUCUUGAGUUUAACUGGCAUUUCCUCAUAGAUAAAGAUGUAAUUAUUUUCCAUUCUAGUGUUCAUUUUUUUAAUUGUUGUUGUUUUUUAUCUAUUUGGAUUAUAUUAGUUCUGCUGAGAUUUACACAUGUUAAAAAUAUGUAUUCCUCAUUAUUUACAAUGGCAGGAUAUAUUUAUAAUGUCUGUUUUUUUAAUUAUCAGUCACAUUGUCUUUCUUUGUGUAUCAUAUAAAUAUUCCUUUUGGAGAUGGCAGACAGAUCUCUUGUGUGUUCCAGGCCAGCCUGGUCUACAUAGCAAAACCCUGUUUGG
rnacentral:lncRNA from 1 species